GGAGAGGUGCAGGAGUGGUUGAACUGGCACGCCUGGAGAGCGUGUGAACUCGUGAGGGUUCCGUGGGUUCGAAUCCCACCCUCUCCGCAA
rnacentral:tRNA from 1 species